rnacentral:rRNA from 1 species
CCUACGGGUGGCAGCAGUGGGGAAUAUUGCGCAAUGGGCGAAAGCCUGACGCAGCGACGCCGCGUGAGGGAUGAAGGUCUUCGGAUCGUAAACCUCUGUCAGCAGGGAAGAACGGUAACUGUGCUAAUCAGCAGUGAAUUGACGGUAACUGCAAAGGAAGCACCGGCUAACUCCGUGCCAGCAGCCGCGGUAAUACGGAGGGUGCGAGCGUUAAUCGGAUUUACUGGGCGUAAAGCGCUCGUAGGCGGUAUGUCCAGUCAAGGGUGCACUCCCCGCGCUCAACGUGGGAACUGCCUUUGAAACUGGCGAACUUGAGUGUGUGAGAGGAGAGUGGAAUUCCAGGUGUAGGAGUGAAAUCCGUAGAUAUCUGGAGGAACAGCAGUGGCGAAGGCGACUAUCUGGCACAUAACUGACGCUGAGGAGCGAAAGCGUGGGUAGCAAACAGGAUUAGAUACCCCUGUAGUC